rnacentral:rRNA from 1 species
GGGCAUGUGCCGCUGCUAUAAUGCAGUCGAGCGGACAGAUGGGAGCUUGCUCCCUGAUGUUAGCGGCGGACGGGUGAGUAACACGUGGGUAACCUGCCUGUAAGACUGGGAUAACUCCGGGAAACCGGGGCUAAUACCGGAUGGUUGUUUGAACCGCAUGGUUCAAACAUAAAAGGUGGCUUCGGCUACCACUUACAGAUGGACCCGCGGCGCAUUAGCUAGUUGGUGAGGUAACGGCUCACCAAGGCAACGAUGCGUAGCCGACCUGAGAGGGUGAUCGGCCACACUGGGACUGAGACACGGCCCAGACUCCUACGGGAGGCAGCAGUAGGGAAUCUUCCGCAAUGGACGAAAGUCUGACGGAGCAACGCCGCGUGAGUGAUGAAGGUUUUCGGAUCGUAAAGCUCUGUUGUUAGGGAAGAACAAGUACCGUUCGAAUAGGGCGGUACCUUGACGGUACCUAACCAGAAAGCCACGGCUAACUACGUGCCAGCAGCCGCGGUAAUACGUAGGUGGCAAGCGUUGUCCGGGAAUUAUUGGGCGUACAGGGGCUCGCAGGCGGUUUCUUAAGUCUGAUGUGAAAGCCCCCGGGCUCCUCCGGGGAGGGUCAUUUGUAAACUGGGUUAACUUGCGUGGAAAGA